CUGCGGUUUAAUUGGAUUCAACGCCGGAAAUCUUACCGGGUACCGACAGCAAUAUGAAGGCCAGGCUGAAGACUUUGCCGGAUUAGCUGAGAGGUGGUGCAUGGCCGUCGUCAGUUCGUACUGUGAAGCAUCCUGUUAAGUCAGGCAACGAGCGAGACCCACGCCCACAGUUGCCAGCGUACUCUCUGGAGUGACGGGUACACUGUGGGGACCGCCGCUGCUAAAGCGGAGGAAGGAAUGGGCAACGGUAGGUCAGUAUGCCCCGAAUAUCCCGGGCUACACGCGAGCUACAAUGGUUGGUACAAUGGGUAUCUACCCCGAAAGGGGACGGGAAUCUCCUAAAACCAAUCUUAGUUCGGAUUGAGGGCUGCAACUCGCCCUCAUGAAGCUGGAAUCCGUAGUAAUCGCGUUUCAACAGAACGCGGUGAAUACGUCCCUGCUC
rnacentral:rRNA from 1 species